AUACGUAGGUGGCAAGCGUUGUCCGGAUUUACUGGGCGUAAAGGGCGUGUAGGCGGAGAUGCAAGUCAGGAGUGAAAUCUAGGGGCUCAACCCCUAAACUGCUUUUGAAACUGUAUCCCUUGAGUAUCGGAGAGGCAGGCGGAAUUCCUAGUGUAGCGGUGAAAUGCGUAGAUAUUAGGAGGAACACCAGUGGCGAAGGCGGCCUGCUGGACGACAACUGACGCUGAGGCGCGAAAGCGUUGGGAGCAAACAGGAUUAGAUACCCUGGUAGUCCACGCUGUAAACGAUGAAUACUAGGUGUGGGGGGACUGACCCCCUCCGUGCCGCAGUUAACACAAUAAGUAUUCCGCCUGGGGAGUACGGCCGCAAGGUUGAGACUCAAAGGAAUUGACGGGG
rnacentral:rRNA from 1 species